UAGGGAAUCUUCGGCAAUGGGGGGAACCCUGACCGAGCAACGCCGCGUGAGUGAAGAAGGUUUUCGGAUCGUAAAGCUCUGUUGUUAAGGAAGAACGAGUGUGAGAAUGGAAAGUUCAUGCUGUGACGGUACUUAACCAGAAAGGGACGGCUAACUACGUGCCAGCAGCCGCGGUAAUACGUAGGUCCCGAGCGUUGUCCGGAUUUAUUGGGCGUAAAGCGAGCGCAGGCGGUUAGAAAAGUCUGAAGUGAAAGGCAGUGGCUCAACCAUUGUAGGCUUUGGAUACUGUUUAACUUUAGUUCAGAAGGGGAGAGUGGAAUUCCAUGUGUAGCGGUGAAAUGCGUAGAUAUAUGGAGGAACACCGGUGGCGAAAGCGGCUCUCUGGUCUGUAACUGACGCUGAGGCUCGAAAGCGUGGGGAGCGAACAGG
rnacentral:rRNA from 1 species